GGUUAGCACUCUGGACUCUGAAUCCAGCG
rnacentral:piRNA from 6 species